rnacentral:rRNA from 1 species
AAUGAACGUUGGCGGCGUGGAUUAGGCAUGCAAGUCGAACGGGCCCGCAAGGGCCAGUGGCGGAAGGGUGAGUAAGGCGACGGUAACCAACCCCACGGUCGGGUAUAGCCGCGGGAAACUGCGGGUAAUCCCCAGCGACGUGCGGGGCCGGCAUCGGCCCUGCACCCAAGCUCCGGCGCCGUGGGACGGGCCGGCGUGGUAUUAGCUAGUUGGCGGGGUGAUGGCCCGCCAAGGCUGUGAUGCCUACCGGGCGUGCGAGCGCGGCCCGGCACACUGGGACUGAGACACUGCCCAGACUCCUACGGGAGGCUGCAGUCGAGAAUCUUCGGCAAUGGGCGCAAGCCUGACCGAGCGACGCCGCGUGGAGGAUGAAGGCCCUCGGGUUGUAAACUCCUGUCGAGGGGGAGGAAGCCGCAAGGUUGACCGAUCCCUGGAGGAAGCACGGGCUAAGUUCGUGCCAGCAGCCGCCGUAACAC